AAAAGAAAUGUUCGAGAUUUAUGUCUACCUUGGAAUUUUUAGGGAUAGGAUAAUUUUUUUUUUUUCUGUCAUUUGAGGGCCACACCCACAGCAUAUGGAGAUUCCCAGACUGGAGGUCUAACUGGAUCUGCUGCUGCCAACCUCCACCACAGCCACAGCAAUGCCAGAUCCGAGCUACGUCCGCAAGCUGCACCACAGUUCACGGUAAUGCCAGAUACUUAACCCACUGAGCAAGGCCAGGGAUCCACCCUGCCAUCUCAUGAUUCCUCAGUCGGAUUCAUUUCUGCGGAGCCACGAUGGGAACUCCAUGGGGUAGGAUCAAUUUAAUUUGGAGGAUCUCAGAUAGAAAGUGCUGAAAUUUUUUAUUUUGUCAAAAAGAGGAAAGAGCUUUUCUUAUGAUAAUUUAAAGGAACAAAAUAAAUCAAUCUACCUUCUUGGCCAUUUUUACAGUAAACCCAAAUCAGCAAAACUUUGAUAGGCCAUUAGGUUUAAAAACAAAAUCUCUAGUUAGUCUGUUGUUGCACAAAUGCCCUUUUUUAAAGCAGCAUAUUGUGGCUCACUGAUGUUUACAAAACCAAAAAAACCCACUGAGUUUUCCAUCUGUCAUUAUUUCAUUUCAGGGGAUAAAGACUUGGGUAUUGUGUAAUCUCUAACAUAUUACUCAGAAUGGACAUCUCUUUUUUUUUUUUUUUUUUUCCUAGGGCCACAUCCACAGCAUAUGGUGGUUCCCAGGCUAGGGUCUAAUCAGAACUGCAGCCACCGGGCUACACCAGAGCCACAGCAAUGCCAGAUCCGAGCCUCAUCUGUGACCUACACCAUAGCUCACAGCAACAAUCCUUAACCCACUGAGCAAGGCCAGGGAUUGAACCUGCAACCUCAUGGUCCUAGUCGGAUUUUAACCACUGAGCCACAAUGGAAUUCCAGAAUAGACAUUUCCAUUUCCUUUUAUUAAAUGCCCAAAUCAUUUCCUUUAUUGUUCAUGUAGGGACAAUGGCAGGAGUUAGGAAAGAUGCAUCCACAUCUCCAAUGAAAACAGGAAGCCAAAAGGAGCUCGUUAUCACAACCACGUCAUCAUUGCAACAUGACACCCCCCGGGCUCUGAGUGACCCAGCUGAGGCAGUUUCAAGAGCCAGGAUGAAAUCCAGGUCUGGGGCACCAUGCCAGUUCAUGAUGAGGAAAAGGAUGUUAAGUUUAUUUCUUGUUGAGGACUCUCUCUUCUCUUCACCCUGGAAGAAGUCUGUACAACAAAGUCAACAUGGCCAUGUACUUGGCACUUGGUCUAACCUGAUAAAUGUUAGAAGUACCUUGCCCUGAGACACAGUCCUACCAGGUGCAGAUUGGAUCGUUCACGCACAAAUGGCAUUCUGUGUGGACUUUCAUUAGGAUGCUUCUAAAUGUUCUUCCUUAAUGAAGUGGUGUCCUCCUCCAUGGGUAGUUGGCAGUACGGUGCCAGCUAGCUCGGAGGAGAAUUCAUCCCAUCCAGCCCCAUGUCUGCUGUCCUUACAAUCUCAGCUUAUGACUGACAGAUGUUCUGUUCCUAAAAUAAAACUUCUUUGUAGGCUGGUUGAUAUACCUCA
rnacentral:lncRNA from 1 species